rnacentral:lncRNA from 1 species
AAAAAUUAGCCAAGCACAGUGGCAUGUGUCUGUAGUACCAGCUACUUGGGAGGCUGAGUGAAGAGGGAGGAUUGCUUGAGGCCAGGAGUUGGAGACCAGACUGGGCAACAUAGCGAGACCUCAGCUUGGAAGUAAGGAAGGAAAGAAGGGAGGGAAGGAGGGAUGAAGGUAGAAAGAAACGGGACAAGAUGGACUCCUGAGGCCAUCCUAAUUCUGGAACACAAUACAAUGGCCUCUGUAUGUUAGGAGGGCUCAUUUGGCUUCUCUCUAAGCCAGCAGUCCACAUCUUUUUGGCACCAAGGACCAGUUUUGUAGAAGACAAUUUUCCACGGAUGGGGGCGGGGGGUGGGGGUGGGAGGGGAUGGUUUCGGGAUGAAACUGUUCCACCUCAGAUCAUCAGACGUUAGAUUCUCGUAAGAGGUGCCCAACCUACAUCCCUUGCACGUGCAGUCCACAAUAGGGUUUGUGCUUCUAUGGGAAUAUAAUGCCACACUGAUCUGACAGGAGUCAGGGCUCAGGUAGUAAUGCUCACUCACCUGCCGCACACCUCCUGCUGUGCGGCCGGUUCCCAAUAGGCCAUGGAAUGCUUAUUGGUCCACAGCCCUGGAGUUGGGCACCCCUCUUCUAAGGCAGAAGCUUCUACUGUCUUAGGAGCAGCGUCCUGGCCUCCACAGCAGGGAGAGAGCAGGAAUACCCAGCCACAGAUACUGGUCAAGAUAUUGAUCAACUUCCUACCAUCAUGGUGGAGGCAAGCCUGGAGGCCUCUGGGUGGUCAUCAGGUCACCCCAGCACAUUUUCCUGCCCCGGACUCCUGGCCACGCUGAGGUUGCUGUGAGCAGACACGAUGUGCAGGGUCAUGGAUGUGCAGCUCAAACUCCUUGACAAGCGGGAGAUUUAUUUUAUGGCCCAAGCAGUUUGGAGACAAAAUCGUAAGGUGCUCACCCAUCCAGUGUCUCUUCAGCCGGCACUGGGAGGUGUCAAACUGACCACAUUCGACUGCCCCUUCCGCCCGCAGAAUAUGGGUCUGCGUUUCUCUUUCCCUCUUGGUGGCCAAGAACUGUCAACAUCCAGCUGUGGCUCUGCACUCAGCCGCCGCUCAGCCUGCUCAGGUUGAAAGGUCAAACGUUGUCUGGAAUUGGCAGCCCAGCUUACUAGCAGCUCUUCUGUCUUCAGAGUGCAGUGAGGGGAGCUGUCAGAGGGCUGAGGCAAGGACCAGAGAGGGAACUCCUGCGACAGAGAAAGCUCAGCCCUGGUUAUGUUCUGGAGGGAGCAUAGCAGGGUCUGUCCCAGGAACUUUAUUAGUUAGCGGUUAAGAUCCUCAUCCACAGAAAAGCCGGUAGGAAUUAGCCAGGUGGUGUGUGCCUAUGGUCCCAGCUACCCAGGAGGGUGAGGAGGGAGGACUGCUUGAGCCCAGGAGGUUGAGGCUGCGGCUAGCUAUGAUUGUGUCACUGCGCUCCAGCCUGGGUGACAAAGCAAGAUCCUGACUCAAAAAAAAAAAAAAAAAAAAAAGGAAGAAAGAAGAAAGAGAGAGAAGAAAGAAAGGAGAGAAAGAGAAGGAAGGAAGGAGAAAGGAAAGAAGGAAGGAAGAAAAGGAAGAAAGAAUGACAAAGAAAAGAAAGAAAGACGAAAAGGAAAGGAAAAGAAAAGAAAAAAGAAACAAAAGCAGGAAAGUGAGGGGAGAGGGCCAGGAAGACAGAAGACAGGAUGGGCAAGAAGGGUGGGAAGGAUUCCCACACCAGAUUCAGGAGUGGCUCUGCAUUGGGAAAUCCAUCUACGACUGCUGGGGACUUGGUUUUGCAAACAUGCACAGAGAAACCUUCAUCCACCUCUGUGCAAUGUUGGACUGAAGUAGAAAUGAGCCGCUGUUUUCUGGAAGCACCCCAUUUCUUUGAGCUGAUCUUCUCUAAUAAUGAAUUCUGGUGAAGCCUGCCAUUCACAGCACCCUGCCCUCCCAUCUGUAGGAGGUGGGAACAGGACCCAGGCCAGUUGAUCAGAGAGCUCCCUUGCCCUGGGAUGAGCAUGUGACCCAGAUGUCUCAAUCAUGGGGAAGAUCCUCUUGCCUGUUAUAGCCACUAUGCUGGAAGAACAGGAUGUGGGCUUGCUGGCCGCCAUCUUCCAGUCCACGCUGGGAACCCAUCUGCAGGAGGAGGGAAGGAGGACAACCCAGUUUGAGGGAGCAUAUGGACAGCAGCUAUAGAAGGCUCCAUAUGUGCCCAGUGCUAGAUCCACCCCAUCCCUUCCUGUUCCAUAAAUCCAUACAUCUUCUCUCACUUUUGCUUACCCUAGUUUGAGUUACAUUUCUGACACCUGCCACCAUAAAAGCCCAAAUGAUUACAGAGAAUAUUUGGCUACAGGAAAGACCCUGCAGUCUGUGAAAAAAGAGGCUGCUGGUGCAUAGUCAUCGUAGACCAGUGCAAAGAGUGAAACAGAAACAUCCAGCUUAAUCUGCAAAAGCCUUUUUGGAUCCUUGAGAGGCGCUCAUUAACUUACAGCAAAUUGGUGAGCUGAUACUCUUCUUUCAUCCAGGUGAGUGCAUUAACUAGGUUAAUGUUCCUGUCUCAAGGGACUGCUGUAGGUUAGGGUGAAUGAAUGAAAGAAGCAAGUUUUUAAACAGGAAAAAGGCUGCAGGGAAGUUGAGGUGACAAGCAUCGUUUCACCCCCAAUGGAAGGUGAGCUUGUCUGUUAGGUCCCAGGGACUGAAUUGGAGUUCCGUGGUUAGGGAAUGACCCAUCUCAACAAGCAACUUCCAUCAUCCUUCCAUGGGGAUCUGAUUAAGGUCUUCUCCAGAAGGAGAUGGCCUCGUGAGUUGGGGCUUUUUAAUCUCCCUGUCCCUCCUCUAGAAGGGCAUUGCUACUGGCCUUGCCCUGCCAAGUCUUCAGUCUACAACAACACUGCCCGGCUUCAGACACAGCCCAGAUCCUUCCCAGAUCCUUCCCAGACACAGCCCAGAUCCUUCCCAGACAAAAAGUCCUUCCGACUUUUUGCCCUUUCGGCCCAGCCUUCCCUAUCACUUAUGCUGAAAUUGGGAACGUUUCCCAAACCAACAAUUUCCCAGUCCACAAUGUUCCCUUGCUGAGUGUCCCCACAGGAGAGACAGGCAGCCUGAUAAAUAAAACCAGUCAUAAAACCUCCCUGCCUUAGCAAAGGGACUGCUUUGCCAGGCUACCGUCACAUAGCACUCCUGUCUCCCGUUUGACUUCAUAUAGUGAAAAUUGUCUAAAAGAUAAGGCAGGAGCUCUGGUUGACACCCCCCCUGCCCCCGCCUCAUAGAUCUCUCUCUAGAAGCAUUGGAAGAGGCCGUCUCAAAAAAGAAAAAUAAAAUAGAAGCAUUGGAGGAAAGAUGUGGUUUGUAGUGAAACAAAUUGGAAGUCAAGCUCAGCCUCAACCACUUACUUGCUUCUGACCUUGGGUAGUGUCCACCACAGGAAACAUUACUAUUUGGGUUUUGUGACCCAGGAAUCCAUAUUUACCUGGCGGCAACGACACAGCCCUCACCUUUCCAGACCUCAUCUGGUGGCCUUGUAAUCCUGGAGCUGAAGCUGCCUACACACAAGCAAUCGGUCGCAGUGUAUCCGUGCAGGGUCCCAACCCACUCCAGGAUUCAUUUCGGGAUGGCUUCCCCUCCCUCAGCCAGGUCUCCGGCCCCGUUGCUCUGCAUGCUUGCCCAUCUCCAUCUCCACGGCGAUCAUGUGUUUGCAGGGAGCCAUCAAUAGGAAUCCUGCUUUGUGUAGUUCAGUGCCUGCUGCCAAGUCAGAGCUGUGACCUCAAUGAAAGUGGCCCAGCCACAGCAAACCUCAGUUUCCAUAACAGUCCUGGGAUCCAAUGUGGCUUUCACACUACAUGUCACUUCACUCUGUUAUCUCUGACAGAAAACCAACUCAAACUGGCUUAAGCAAAAAGGGUACUCACUGGGCCAUGUAACCAAAAAGUGUAGGCAUACAUGUGGCUUCAGGAAUGGCUGGAUCCAGGCACUCACAUGUGGCAUCGGGAGUCCCUCUCCUGGCUGUUGGUUUCAGUUUUCUCUGCAGGGGUUUCAUUCAAGCACUGGUUCCCUCCUCAUAGUGGCAAGGUGGCUGCCCAGGACAAGAGGCUUAUAGCCACGGGCUCAGCUACUUAAGGAUAAGUUCCAUCAGAAGCCCAAGUUGAGGCCGGGCUUGGUGCUCACACCUGUAAUCCCAGCACUUUGGGUGGCCGAGGUGGGUGGAUCACUUGAGGUCAGGAGUUCGAGACCAGCCUGGCCAACACAGUGAAACCCUGUCUCUACUUAAAAAAAAACAAAACAAAACAAAAAAAAAAACCAUGAAAAUUAGCUGGGUGUGGUGGCACGUGCCUGUAAUCCCAGCUACUUGCAAGGCUGAGGCAGGAGAAUCACUUGAACCUGGCAGGCGGAAGUUGCAGUGAGACGAGAUCACGUCAUUGUACUCCAGUCUGGGCAACAGAACGAGACUUCGUUGGCAAUGACUGGGUCAUCUGUCCAGUCCUGAACCGGUCACUGUGUCAGGUAGAAGCAUUGUUUGAUUGGCCAGGCCUGGGACACACGGCCAUCUCCAGACCUAGGAAUGGCAUCAUCUCUACCCAAACCCCGUGAACCAAGAGUUGGGGAGGAGCAAAGCUUCAGAGAAAACUCUGGGCCCUGUCAUCAAGCAGAGGAGGAAAGGAGGCCACACAGACUGAGACAUCAAGUACCCACUGUGCCCUCACCACCAGCUCCCGCCCUGGCCAGUGCACUCCUGGACCAUCUCUCCUCCCCGUCUUGUUCACAGUCACCCUCUCACCCCAGCAGAGAUCAGGCCAGGGUACUGGUGGCAAGUGAGUGAAGGGUUUCAGCAAGGGGGUCCCCACCUUCCAGGCACAGUGUAAGUGGACCCCCCACACUUGGGGGCUCUCCUGGGUUGCACAGUGUCCUCUGAAAAUUCACAUCCACCUGGAACCUGCAAAUAUGACCUUAUUUGGAAAUGGAGUCUUUGCAGAUGUUGUCAAGAUAAGAUGAAGUCAUACUGUUUUAGGAUGGGCCCUCUAUAUGGCACGACUGGGGUUCUUAUACGAAGAGGGACCCUGGCACACAGAUGCAUACAGGGAGAGUGCUGUGUGAUGAGAAAGGCAGAGAUUGCAGUGAUGCUGCCACCAGCCAAGGAGUCACCAUCAGCCAGGAGAUGGGCAUGGAUCUGAUUCUCCCUGGGAACCUCCAGAAGGAGCCAACCCUGCCAACACCUUGGUUUUGGACUUCUGUUCCCCGCAACUGUGAGACAAUACAUUCUGUGGUUUUAAGCUUUAUGAUAAUUUGUUACUGUAGCCCUGGGAAAGGAAUACAAGGGUAGACAGACACUGAUCAAGUAAGCAAACAAAUGUGAAAUUGCCCUGUGACAAGGGAGGUGCGGGGUGCCUGUGUUGGGGAAGAAUUCUCUGAGACUUGAAGUCAGAGAAGGAGUUAGCUAAUGGGGCCGACAGGGUUCUGCACACGCAGCUCACGGCCCAGAUCUUGUUGGCCAAGUGUUUUUGCAGGGAUUAGGAACUAAGAAUGGUUUUGCAAGAAGAACAUCACAGGCUGAGGGGACAGCAUGGGCAAAGGCCAUGAAGUGGGAGGCGCCCUCUGUGAAACCAACAAGCUUUCAGCCACGUGGGUCUCUCUGACGCGUUGCCUCAGCCACAGAGGGCUUUAAAAAGCCCCGAAACUGGACAGGUGUCACUGCCUGUGGCAGUAGCGGCCAUUUGGCGCCUGUGGUUUCAACUCCACCCGUUUCACAUGUCUAUGUUACCAGACUGGCCCCUGAAGGGGAUCUGUGUGCCAGGCCCUGACCUGCCGGGCUUUGGAAACAUCCUCGACAGUGUCCCCUGACCUGCGCCCCGCCUUGUGGAGUGAGGCCUGGUUGCCCAAGCUGGCUGGGCCGGGCUGUUUGUUGCUUCCAACAAACAUAGGAGAGAACGUAUGGCUGCUUUUUAUUGCCAGUGAGAGUUCCGCGAGGCCUGGCCCGAGAUGUGGCUGGCGUGAGGGGUCCCGGACCUGCUGUGCUGGGGACGCACCCAGUUCUGUGUCGCUUGGUCCAGUGAGGACUCGAGCCCCUUGGAGGCGGGGCCUCGGGCUGCAGGGGCGGGGCCCCGAGCCGCCUGGGGGUGGGGCCUCAGGCUCUUUGGGGGCGGGGCCUCAAGCUGUCUGGGGACGGAGCCUCCGGCCGGCUGGGGGCGGGGCCUCAUGCCUAAGGGGCGGGGCCUCGAGCUUUCUGGGGGUGGGGUCUCAAGCUUCAGGGUCGGGGCCUGGAGCCGCCUGGGGACGGGGCGAUCUGUUGGGGAGGAGGUUCUCGAACUGCUGAGGAGGAUCGCAGUGCUUUUGCUUCCUCUAGGAGACCAGCUGCACAGGCUGGAACAUGCCAUCUCUAUGCCUGUUUUCCCGUCGAUAAAUCCAGAGACAUUACUCUCAUCAUUUCUUCCUCUGUACACAAUAUUCAUAUAUGUAACCCCUUGGUAAAGCAGUUGUAAGAAUUAAACAAGAGGAAUUGCUCUUUCAUUCAGCAAAUAUUUUUUGAGCAGCUACUAGAUGCCAGGCACUGUUUUAGACGCAAGUGAUACUUCAGGAAACAUAAUCAGAC